AUGGCACCGGCAAGACAACGAAUUAUCUCCAACCGGAAUUCCGGUGAUAAUCCCCAAGCAAAAAGACCACCAGUGCGAGUGAAAGUGAGUGGAAAAGGUAGCCGUGACGAUGGCCCCAAAUCGAAGCACAAAUCUUCAUUGAAUUCAUCCAAAAACAAGAAUGCUCCACCAGUCGCAUCUAAUAAAUUCUUGAUCUUUGGACAUGAUUCCGCUAUCAAAUUGCUCUUCACAACGAGACUAUUUGCGGCUAUAUGGUCUCACAUCAGUGAUUGCGAUGAAACCUUCAAUUACUGGGAUCCUUUGCACUACAUGAUCUACGGAAAGGGUCUACAGACGUGGGAAUAUAGUCCGGAAUUUGCUUUAAGAUCGUACACAUACCUUACAGCAUGUGGGCUACCAGCGUGGUUCUACAAUAGCCUCUUCGUUCCUAAUCCAAUGCUGAUGUUUUACUUUGUACGCUGCAUCCUGGGAAUCUUAUGUGCUAUUGUCGAAUUCCAUUUUUACAAAGCUGUGUGCAGAGAAUUCGGAAUACAUGUUGGGCAUGUUUGGCUCAUCUUUCAAUUCUUCUGCGCUGGGAUGUUCAUCUCUUCCACUGCUUUUUUGCCAAGCUCCUUCUCCAUGUACGUGGGCAGUGCUGCUCUAGCCGAAUGGUGGUUCCAACGAUACAACUCUGCUGUAUUUCUAACAGCGAUCUCCGCACUGCUGGGCUGGCCCUUUGCAGGUGCUAUCGGACUUCCAAUUGCCUACGAUAUGAUAUUCCGACAGAAAAUGCUGAAGAAUUUCAUUAUUUGGACUGGAAUUUCUGCAGCUACAAUCCUCAUUCCCAUGACCCUUAUUGAUUCUUCGUAUUUUGGACGAAUUGUCGUCGCCCCACUAAAUCUCAUCAUCUACAAUGUUUUCUCAUCGCACGGUCCAAAUCUCUACGGAGUAGAAUCAUUCACGUACUACCUCGUCAAUGGAUUUUUGAACUUCAACAUUGUCUGGCUACUGGCUUUAAUAACGCCAAUCCUCCUCGUCAUUUGUCACUACUUCGUGCCAGCAAAAUCAAAGAGUACGCUAUAUUUGCCACAUUGGCUUAGUUUAGCGCCCCUCUACCUCUGGCUUCUCAUAUUUUGGCCUCAGCCUCAUAAGGAGGAAAGAUUCCUCUUCCCAGUUUAUCUCUUGAUCAAUUUAUGUGGAGCAAUUUCCCUGGAUGUCAUUCAAAAAGUCUACUUUCGCAUCAAAGGCCUUCUUCGGGGUUUUCGUCCAGGCAGCCACUACUGGGAUGAAUCAACUCUCGUGGCGGGUAUUUUCAUUGCCAUUGCUACCCUCCUCGGAGUCUCGCGGAUAUUUGCUCUCUAUCGCAACUACAAUGCUCCCAUAAAUAUUAUGAUUGAGUUCAACAAUUUGGCUAAAGAUAAAACACUGCAAGUUGAUGGGCCCGUAAAUGUUUGCUUUGGCAAGGAUUGGUAUCGCUUCCCCAGCAGCUUUUUCCUUCCCACACCUAACUAUCGCGUGAGAUUUAUUAAAUCUGAAUUUCGGGGAAUGCUGCCGGCAUAUUAUGAUGAAACCGCCAAUGGUACGCAAAUCAUACAUUCCUACUUCAAUGAUCGGAAUGAAGGGAAUGAUUUUAUGCUAUUUGAUUACGCCAAAUGCCACUUUCUCGUCGAUUUGGAUUUAGGCAAAUACACAGAGCUGGAGCCAAACUAUCUCAAGGAUAAAGAGUGGAACGUCUUGACCACGCUGCCAUUUGUGAAUGCUGAAAAAUCCAACAGCAUUCUCCGAGCAUUCUACAUUCCAUACUUCAGUGAUAAAUACGUUGAAUUUGGAUCUCUGAAUCUCCUGAAGAGGCGGAAGCUCAAAUUUGAGUAAAUUCUCCGUGUUUCUAGCAGCAAUAGUUUCCUCUCUAGUCAGUGGCGUGACUCCCAGAUGGAUGUUCGUGUCGUCACAAAAUGCAGAAAAAAUCAGAGAGUAUUACAAGAAUAAAUUAAUCAUGAGUCGGAGUUAGAGCGAUAACGUUGAAACGCACUUCAUCCGGAUUGUCCUCCAUAAAGGUCUUACAGAUCUUGGCAGCAUCCUGAAGAAAGGUUUCAGAUGAUGUUGGCCCGUGUUUCACAGGGAACUCUCUACUGCCGUCGAGUUCAAACAAUUGGCCGUUUUUAUUAACGAAUGCAAUAAAAUGAUAGUUGACCUUA